rnacentral:rRNA from 1 species
GACGAACGCUGGCGGCGUGCCUAACACAUGCAAGUCGAACGGAAAGGCCCUGCUUUUGUGGGGUCUUCGAGUGGAGAAAGGGUGAGUAACACGUGUGUAACCUGUCCCUGACUUCGGGAUACAUUCAGGAAAAUGGGGCUAUUACCGGAUAUGAGCUCCUGCUACAUGGUGGGGGUGGGAAAGUUGCGGCGGUUGGGGAUGGACUGGCGGUUCAUCAGCUUGUUGGUGGGGUGGUGGGUUAACAAGGCGUGGACGGGUAGCCGGCCUGGGAGGGUGACCGGCCACAUUGGGACUGGGGUGCGACCCGGAGUCCAACGUGAGGCAGCGGUGGAGAAUAGAGCACGAUGGGCCGAGGCCGGAUGCAGCGACGCCGCGUGCGGGAUGACGGCCUGCGGGUUGGAAACCGCGUUCGCCUGUAACGAAGCGUGAGUGACGGUAAUUGGUAAAGAAGCACCGGCUAACUACGUG